UACGGAGGGUGCAAGCGUUGCUCGGAAUUAUUGGGCGUAAAGGGUAUGUAGGUGGUCUUAUUUGUCUGGGGUGAAAGCCUUGAGCUUAACUCAAGAAGUGCCCCAGAAACGGUGAGACUAGAGUCCUGGAGAGGGUCGUGGAAUUCCCGGUGUAGCGGUGAAAUGCGUAGAGAUCGGGAGGAACACCAGAGGCGAAAGCGGCGACCUGGACAGGUACUGACACUCAACUACGAAAGCGUGGGGAGCAAACAGG
rnacentral:rRNA from 1 species